GUGGGGAAUCUUCCGCAAUGGACGAAAGUCUGACGGAGCAACGCCGCGUGAGUGAUGAAGGUCUUCGGAUUGUAAAGCUCUGUUAAUCGGGACGAAAGAGCCUAGUGUGAAUAAUGCUAGGAAGUGACGGUACCGGAAUAGAAAGCCACGGCUAACUACGUGCCAGCAGCCGCGGUAAUACGUAGGUGGCAAGCGUUGUCCGGAAUUAUUGGGCGUAAAGCGCGCGCAGGCGGAUCUGCCAGUCUGUCUUAAAAGUUCGGGGCUUAACCCCGUGAUUGGAUGGAAACUACAGAUCUAGAGUAUCGGAGAGGAAAGUGGAAUUCCUAGUGUAGCGGUGAAAUGCGUAGAUAUUAGGAAGAACACCAGUGGCGAAGGCGACUUUCUGGACGAAAACUGACGCUGAGGCGCGAAAGCCAGGGGAGCGAACGGGAUUAGAUACCCUAGUAGUCC
rnacentral:rRNA from 1 species